AAAAGUGUGGCAAAGUGGAAACGUGCUGGGCGCAUAACCCAGAGAUCAAUGAAUCGACACCAUUUCCUUCUA